UAAACGAUGCCAACUGACGAUCCGUGGUGGUAGUAUUUUAACCAUCCCCACGGGCAGUCCCCGGGAAACCUUUAAGUCUUUGGGUUCCGGGGGAAGUAUGGUUGCAAAGCUGAAACUUAAAGGAAUUGACGGAAGGGCACCACCAGGAGUGGAGCCUGCGGCUUAAUUUGACUCAACACGGGAAAACUCACCCGGCCCGGACACUGUGAGGAUUGACAGAUUGAUAGCUCUUUCUUGAUUUGGUGGUUGGUGGUGCAUGGCCGUUCUUAGUUGGUGGAGCGAUUUGUCUGGUUAAUUCCGAUAACGAACGAGACUCUAGCCUGCUAAUUAGUACGCCUGUCCUCUGUUCCUGUGCUGGCGGUGCUUUGGCGAAACUGCUCACAUAUGUCGACUGCUAUGGGGACGCGUUCUUGCGUGUGCCGCGAGCUCCUCGUGGGCAAGUGGCGUGCGUAGGGGCGUGAACUGUGGUAGGAGGCGUGUGCGGUGGGUCCGGUGCUUGCCUCCGGGUACGGCGCAGGUGUGUCUACUUCUUAGAGGGACAAGCAUUACGAAUGUGUACGAAAUUGAGCAAUAACAGGUCUGUGAUGCCCUUAGAUGUCCGGGGCCGCACGCGCGCUACAAUGACGGUGCCAACGAGUCUGACCUUCUGGCCCGAAAGGGUUGGGCAAACUGGUCAAUCACCGUCAUGACAGGGAUCGGGGCUUGGAAUUGUUCCCCGUGAACGAGGAAUUCCUAGUAAGUGCAAGUCAUAAGCUUGCGCUGAUUACGUCCCUGCCCUUUGUACACACCGCCCGUCGCUACUACCGAUUGAAUGGUUUAGUAAGGUCCUCGGAUUGGCGCCAUUGCAGUAUCAGCCGCAAGGUUGGUGCUCGACAGGUGCCGAG
rnacentral:rRNA from 1 species